UUCCGGUAUGUACAGGUGGCGGGGGGAGGGGGGAGGGGCGUGACGUGACGUGAUAGACGCGAGUCUAGUGAUGGCGAGCAGCGGCGCGUGUCAGGCCGCCGGCGGCGCGAGAGAGCCAGCCCCGGCGCCGCUGCAACAGUUGCAGCCGCCGCGGCGAGCAAGCGAAGCGCAACGGUACUGGCUCUACGUAAAUCCUUAUAGAGUGGGCAGGCGGCGCCGGCGGCGGGGGUGGUGGCCGGGCGGCGGCGGCGGCGGCGGCGGCGGCGGCCACAUGUCACUACGUGAACGCGAAGUCGGGCGGCCAGCGGUUCUCCUGCGCCCACACCGCGACCCGGGUUAGUGAACACAACGACCCACUAGCGAGAGCCACCUCUCUGUACACGUGCAUGGCUCCGUAUCUAAACUGUCUAGACCAUGAGUCAUGACGCCGCACUGGGAGGUGUUAUGCACGUGUACAGUAGGCGCUUGGAUGUAUUAGAUGCUUUCUGUACUUCUGGUCGGGAACCGCCGCCGCGACGUCGCCGAGAACAUGCAACAUACGAAACCCCAGCGAUACGUUACUUGUGCGCAGCGCAGUGUGCGUGGAGCGGACACGGGCAGUUGGGAAGGACAAGUGGUGGUAUUCACAAAACUACAUUACCACAUAUUAGGAACAUAGGUAAUAUCAGGAAAAACAGGGAAAUGUUCAAAACUUAUUUUCAUAGUAACAUUUUUUUAUACAAUUUGGAAUGCAAAAAAAUGCUUCUUGUCGACUAUGUCACGAUGAUGCAUCAGGUAUGACCGACAUGAACAACACUACGGACGUCACAGAACACCCUAUGCCAUUUAUGGUACCUUAUCCGUCGCUGUUUUUAGAUAUAAGCUCUUUUAAUGUUAGAGCGUAAAUAAAGUUUCAUAUGAAAAAAAUCAAUUCUGCGGAAAUAAUGUUCUACAUAACAGGAACUAUCUUUACGGUUGUUUGCUUUCUUUUAUAAUAGUUGUAAAUAGAUACGUGUAUGAACAUAGUGUGCGUAACGACAUGAAUCGGUUACUCACCGAGUCGCCCUUGUCCCCCUUCUCACCCUUGAGGCCGGGGUAGCCGGGCGGGCCGGGCAACCCGGGCGCGCCCAGCAUGCCCGGCGAGCCCAUGUCACCGUACUCGCCUUUUGACCCUUUUGGACCCAUUUCACCCUGCAAUUAUAUUAAGAUUCUUUGUACUAUUUUUUUCAUGGUUCAUUUCUGUCAUCAGAAAAUUAUUAAAUAAAAUACGUUACACGCAGGGUUGCCAAAUGCUACUUUUUGAUUUUUACCCAAAUAUCAAUUAUUUUUUCUCUGAAUCGAAAUGAUUUCCUUUACCCAAUCAUGUUUUGCUAUGUAACAGCAAAGUACCCUUCCUUUCGCUUAACUUCUCUUGCUUAUUGUUUUGUUACCUUCAUGUGUAUAUUUUAUUGUAUCACUAUAGAAUUUACAAAUAUAAAAACUGCCAGAAAAGUGUCCAAAUUUCUCCAAGCCCAAAAUUGAUUCAUUAUUUUAUAUAAAUAAAUUUCUCAAACAGAAUUUUAUUUAUAUAAAAUAAUGAAUCGCAUUACCCAAUCUGAUAACACUGCGUUGAUUACUUGCUAUAUAUACCGACUUCGGCAGUUUUCGUUACGCAAAAGUCUAUUUUUUUCUGACACUUAGAAUGGCAAAUAAGCUUUACAUAUUAAACAGCUCGUUAAAUGCUGUAAUUUGAGCUUAAACAAAAGUUUACUAUAAUAAUAAUAAUAAUAACAAUGAUAUGUUGUUACCGGCUUGCCGGGUGGACCUUGCACGCCCGAGAGGCCAGGGGAGCCAUCUAUGCCUGGGGGACCGCGGGGGCCAGGCUCGCCAGGUUUACCUAACACACAAUAUGUUACACAUUGAGUAAGUCACCAGUCAGUAUUUGACAUUAUAAAUGCAUUUAAGAAGUAUUAUUUUCUAUUAUAUUACCUCCCCACACAAGUAGCAAAUAUAUCUAUUCGUAGAUACGUUUUCGUUACUACACGCAUGAGAAAGAUUAAGAUGUUUGAUAUUGCUCACUCUUCCUAUACACGUAUGUAGUAGCAAAAAGAUAUCUACUCCAUCACUUAUUUAAGGGGCAAGUUAAUUUUAUGUCCAAAAAGAAAUGUAUACUACGAGACUACAUUAAACUCGCUAUCUACAUACAAAGUGUUAAUAAAAAAUGUUAAUUGUGUAAUUUACCUUUUUCGAAGCAAGUGUGGCGUGGUGAGUUCGGGCUUCGAAGCUUUUCUAAUGUCUACGAACACGACAGAGCAGCCGCAACCCGCAAACGUCAAUAAUAAAGCCUGUUAAUCUAUUAAUUGAAGCGAAACGUGUCCGCGGUUGUCAUUUGUACCACAAUUCAUUUGGCCCCAGAAACAUUCAACGCGGGGUUCAGUCACUAGCGUACACCGUGCGCGCACAUGCUUCAUGCAGUUUAAAGUCAACAGGGAGCUUCCAGACGGUCAGUUUUCUAUAGUUUCGCCUUUUAGAAACAGAAAUAGAAAUGAGGCUCGCGAUGACAAGUCGAAAUUCUACUAGCGAUGUCGUCGCUGCAAAACCUCAACAUAGAAUAGAAUAGAGGCUGCAGAUUCGCGCGACUCCUAGAAUUCUUGGCGAGGAACAUACGUUUCGGUACUUUUCAACGGUGACAACGUUAAUAGAAUGUCGCUUCGUCUGAAGAUCUCGUACAGAGUCGCUUUUUAGAAAUAGAGAGAGAUGGCGGGCGAAGGAAGUAGGAGAUGAUGAGCGGGUGGAUGCCGGCGCGGUUACCCGCGUAGUUACCCGCUUGCCGCGCUUGCCGCGCGCGCCCUUGUCGCCGGGCGGGCCGGCCGGCCCCGCCGCGCCCGCCUCGCCGCGCUCCCCGCGCGCGCCCUCCGCUCCUUCAACCACCAACCACACCAUUGUCGCCACCUGCACUCUGCGCCUCGCCUCACUCGCUACGCCCUACACCCUCACCGCAGCGCGCUGUUCACUUUACGGAUACUGAGUUGCGUAUUGAUUUUUAGAGGAAAAAUCAUAUUCCGAGUGCUGGUCAUUGAAUAUAUAAUAUUUUCUAAAACCAUUCCCUUCACUUUUCUCCAGAACUCUAACGAGCGAUUAGGAGAACGAAGCAUAUAGUACUUUGACGUAGGAGAAGGAGAAUUUGAAGUGAAACCCUAAGACGAACCAUCCGGUCUAGAUAUCAGGAACGACAAGCAUGCCGGGUCGGCGCGGUUCCGGCGGUCACGGAGCUAGUAUAAAUUAAGCGGGCAGUUACCGGGCGGGCCCGGCGGACCCGGCGGGCCUUCGAUGAUGCCGGUGGGGAAUGCGUC